rnacentral:lncRNA from 1 species
UCAUGGAAAUAUUAUUGAUGUAUUGAUAUUGUAUCCUAUGUAUUUAUUUACCAGACUCAUGGCCAUGUUACUUAUUGAUUAUUGUAUUGCCAAAUCUUCAGUCCAAAGGACAAAAAGUAUUCCUGAGAAGGACAUUAUUUGCCACAUGAUCCUAGCUCAUACGUUGUUAAACCACAUUCCUUUUCAAGUCACAUGUUUGAUUAACCUCCUCCUCUUUUGAUUAUGUGAUUGUCAAUUGAGCCAAUGUUAAAGACUAUGCCCUCUCACUUGUUCAUUAGUUACCUCCCACUCCACAUUCCUAAACUCUCCAAUAAAAGUUUGAGGGCAUGUGUGGAGUCCUCUCUCAAUUCCAUCAGUGGAACAUGGCAACAUGUAGCCUAUAUUUUUUUGUUCCUUGUCUCUGCAUCUUUAUUCCUUUGUCUUUCUCUUUUUCUCCUCUAUACAUUUUCCCUCAGUUUCCAAUCUCCUUCUCAAGUGUCCACUCAUGAGAAUUUUAAGAUGCAACUACAUGAGGUUACGUUAUGGCGCCCAAGGUGGUAUAAAUCACCUGAGGAGACAUAUUGGAGUUCAAGAUUGGAGACGAAUCAGCAGACCUGCACUUGGCCAGUGAGAUACCAGAAAUCCAUGGAAUAAAACCAAAGUCAUCAAGCAUUUCCAAAGAAAACCAGCCCAGAGAGAGGAGUAAGCAGAUGUCUGUACAGAACCAACCACAGCACAACACAGAGGCCUGACACCAGAAAAAAACAACAGAUGAACAAACAAGGCAAAGCCAUUGACUUAGGGACAGGUCUAAUGCACUAUCCACACAGAAAAAUUUUUACUGAGAAGCAGUUUACCUACAGAAGAAUAUCAUUAAUUUGCUUAAAGACAAUCUAUUCUAAAAGUAUAUGCGUAUUUGUUGUAAGAUCAAUUCUUCUCAUGUACCUGAAGACUUCAAAUGAUAUUUGUACAAUAUGUAACUUGCAAUUAUUUUAUUGGAAUUGUUCCAUGUUACCCAAAUUUGAUAAAAAAAAAACCCAUUGUACAAUUGUAAAUGUUAUAACAGUACAUUAGAUACUGUUCAAUUACAAAAUAAAUUGUUUAUAUUAUCCA